CAAAGAAUGACUUUAAGAAAGCCUGGAGGAAGUACCCCUAUGAAAUUAAUGUUAAAUAUUGAACAUCCUGGCCCCGAGGAUGCAGACCGAUAUGUAAUGGGAAUGUAUUGGAAGAAAGGUUCCUACAACAAAAUAGGUCAUUUCUACCUCAGAGAUAUGUCCCACUCUCCAGAGUGGCAAGGGGCUGAUCAUAUGGUCCCAAAUCCGCUAAAACCACAUAUCCAGUCCUUUAAAGAUAUGAUGACCAUCGCUAACCCCACUUUUGAAGAUACCAUGGCCGCUGAAACUGGAUUCAAUGACAUUAAUUUGUGGUUAGCAUGGAUGAGGUAUAAUGCCAACAAACAUAAUAAAAAAGCAUGUUAUGUAUGUGGCGGUGCCCGACCCCACCUUGGCACCGUCCCCCUAACUCUCCCUUUAGAGAUAGAAGAUUGCUUCUUAAGCCUUUUUGCCUACCAAUAUGACUUUAAUAGGUCCCUCUGCAUGGCAUGGACGGCAGAAUACCCUCUCUUAGUUGAAAAUGUUAAGCCACCAGAUGGAGUCACAGUCU